UGAUAACUAUGCAUACCAAACUAGAAUGAAAAUACAAACCUCAUGAUCCCCACAGUAGACAAUUAAAUUCUCCAACUUCGUAUAACUAAAAUGAAACCGGCUCUCCAAGAACAGCUCGUGACCGAUAAGGUCAUUCUGAACAAUGGCGCAUAUUUAAAGAGACGCAACAGAGAGAAUAUAGAGGGAAAAAAGACUAAAUAAAUGAAAUAACAAUCUUGUGACUGUCAGGCUCUGGAGGCGUGCCAGCAGCCGGAGCAGAGGAGGCUCAGAGGAGAGAAAGAGAGAGACAGUGAGGGGGUGGAGCUAGAGAGCGAGACAGUGAAAGAGAGAGAGCUCGGGGAAGAAGAAUUGUGAAGGAGGAAAGAGAAUAAACAGAUAGAUAUGAGAGACGAGAACAAAGGACAAGAGUAGCGAGGGAUAUUCCUGGGGAAGGGUGGGAGAGUAACACACACUCGACGCCGUCUGCUGGCCUCGAGACCAGCUGCGAGGCUGCUCUGCCCUGGCUGCUCACUGGGCCUUAACAAGAGCCACAUCUAGCCGCUGUUUGGCUGUUUUCGGCCCCUCCGGCGGAGGCGGAGUUUACAUGCACAGGACACAAGAGGACGGGGCCAGAACGAGUCCAGACACCACCCAUACCAUAACUCCAGGUGAAGAUAUAAGAAAAGUUUGUAGGGUUAGGAAAUAAAAGGACUAUGUAUUUCAUUCUUUGCAUUUCUUUUUACACAUCUGCAUCUGUCACAAAUCCCCACCCCAAUCUUUCUCUCUUUCUCCCCAGGGCUCACUGCACUAGUGCGGUGUGGCUGUCAGUGGUGCCUUACAUCCUGUUUGAAACAGGGUGCUGCCUUGUCUCAGGGGAUUAUCACGGCAUAGCGGCACAAC